rnacentral:rRNA from 1 species
GAUCAAGUGUCUUAAGGGCAAUUGGUGGAUGCCUUGGCAUGCACAGGCGAUGAAGGACGUGAUACGCUGCGAUAAGCUACGGGGAGGUGCGAAUACCCUUUGAUCCGUAGAUCUCCGAAUGGGGAAACCCACCUAAGGUACUUGGAAAAUCAGAGAUGCAGGGAUGCGACGAUCUCUUUGAGAUCGCGCUAUUUGCAUCUGUGGUUUCCAAGUAUCGCUAAUAGGUAACUUAUCCUGAAUACAUAGGGAUAAAGUGGCGAACGCGGGGAACUGAAACAUCUAAGUACCCGUAGGAAAGGACAUCAACCGAGACUCCGGAAGUAGUGGCGAGCGAACCCGGACCAGGC